rnacentral:rRNA from 1 species
UACGGAGGGUGCAAGCGUUAUCCGGAUUUAUUGGGUUUAAAGGGUACGUAGGCGGUGGAGUAAGUCAGUGGUGAAAGCCAACAGCUCAACCGUUGAACUGCCAUUGAUACUGCUUCACUUGAGUGCAGUUGAGGUGGGUGGAAUUCCAUGUGUAACGGUGAAAUGCUUAGAUAUAUGGAGGAACACCGAUAACGAAGGUAACUCACUAAACUGUAACUGACGCUGAGGUACGAAAGCGUGGGGAGCAAACGGG